rnacentral:rRNA from 1 species
GAUGAACGCUGGCGGCGUGCCUAAUACAUGCAAGUCGAGCGAACGGACGAGAAGCUUGCUUCUCUGAUGUUGGCGGCGGACGGGUGAGUAACACGUGGAUAACCUACCUAUAAGACUGGGAUAACUUCGGGAAACCGGAGCUAAUACUGGCUAAUAUUUUGAACCGCAGGGUUCAAAAGUUAAAGACGGUCUUGCUGUCACUUAUAGAUGGUUCCGCGCUGCAUUAGCUAGUUGGUAAGGUAACGGCUUACCAAGGCAACGAUGCAUAGCCGACCUGAGAGGGUGAUCAGCCACACUGGAACUGAGACACGGUCCAGACUCCUACGGGAGGCAGCAGUAGGGAAUCUUCCGCAAUGGGCGAAAGCCUGACGGAGCAACGCCGCGUGAGUGAUGAAGGUCUUCGGAUCGUAAAACUCUGUUAUUAGGGAAGAACAUAUGUGUAAGUAACUGUGGACAUCUUGACGGUACCUAAUCAGAAAGCAACGGCUAACUACGUG